GAAGAACUCACAUGUUUUUAGUGCUUUUGUGUGCUUAGACAUAAUAUAAAAGCUUCGCUCAUACCGUAUUUGAAUCCCGUGGUGACCCUCACAGGCUCACAGGAAGAAACACAUACUGCUAGUCUCCCUACACCCCGGACUUGGCACUUACCAUUGUCCCACUUGUUCUUGCCCUGAGUUUCUUUGCAUGCUCAGUGGCAUGCUCAAUAACUAUUGAAAAAUUCAAACACAAGGCACGCAGCCUCUUGUACAAUACAUCGCACACCAACACAUCUAAUGUUUGAGACUUCUCUUUGGUAAACUGAGACUCCUCUGAGACGUUUUACAAUACAAAAUCAAGAAGUUAAACGACGCACAAUGGCGAGUUAGACGAAAAGAGGUGGCAAAAGUCGAAGAUUUGUGUGCCGCUUAGGACACAAAUACAAAAACGGCUAUCACAGUUUUUAAAUCCCUUCAAAAUCAUAUUGUGACCGUUUUUCGUGCGAGGUUGUGGCAGAACUUACAUAUACAAUUCCACGAGAGUGGAAGAAAAAUUCUUAGACAAACUAUCACUGAAGGUUGACUGCCCAAACAAGGAUUUGGAAUCACAAACGAUGGAGACUCAUCACGGGCAAUUUUUGAGAAAAACCAAAUUACUGCAGACAUAAUUGGGAUGGAUAAAGACAUUAUCAAAAGAAUGGGUGUAAUUUAGAAUAUUUAAAACUGCAAAGAAAAAAUAAAUACCCGCAAUAUUGU